AUGGAAGAAGGUCUCACUGUGCGGAGAACUUGUCAGAUUAUUAACCAUGAGUGGCUAAGUGGCGAUGUAAUUAAUGCAUACUCAUCAUAUUUGGUCGACAAAGUUAAUGAUGAUCGUUUCAUGUUGACAACUUGGAGGAUACAUUGGUUGCUUCACAUUAGACUCGGAAAGAAGACCGCCCGUAACGAUUAUGAAGCAGAGUCGCAUAGUAAUGGGCCCGUGAAUAGAUGUGAGGACGAGUAUUUCAAAAAAUCAAAGACUUAUAUUCCUCUAAACAAGGAAAACACUCACUGGGUUACUGUCGUCAUGCAUAGCGGGAAGAGAGAGUUUCAGGUUCUUGACUCGUUGAUGACCGGAAAACUUGACAGUGUUAUUAGAGAACUCGUUGAGGACCUGAAAACAACUAGGAGAAGAUAUCCAAGAAGCAAAUGCACCCGAAAUUGUGAAUUAUCCGGAUGUUUCCAAUUGGCCUAUUCAAACGUAUGA
rnacentral:rRNA from 1 species